GGCUGGAUUAUUUUCAUUUGGAAUUGGAUCAUUCUUACCAAUACCUGAUGCGAAACAGACCCGAAAUGUGGCAGAUGAAGAUCGUUAUGCUGAAAUAUCAGGACAUCGUGUCUCGCGUGGAUGGUUUAGACCUCGACCUUGGGAAUAUUGAAAAUAUGGCGAUUAAUUUUUCAAACCAAUUCAAUAUGUUUAUUGGACGCAUUUGAAUUAUGCAAAUAUCUGUAAUCUAUGCUUUCACCCAAGUUUAAUAAAUCCAGGAUUUUCCAGGAUCCAGGAUUUUGUACAACCAGGAUUUUCAUAUAGCGUUCGUUCCUAAUGACAGAAGUAAAAUAUGGUUACGAGUUACACCAUUAAAUCACCAGCAAAACUUUUGAUAAUUGAUUAUCUUUUUUUACACUCAAGUUCUAACAAGAUUAAACUUAAUUGGUUUCAUGUGUAAUUAUAGGUUGGUCAAUUAAUACGAUGCCGGGUCCUGCACAUAUGUAUAUUGUGUCAUAGUUCGAAAAUAAUUACAAACACUACAAGCGACGUCAAUAUGAUAGUAGAUAAAUGUGUACAACAUGACAUUUCAAUUAUGGGCGUGGACACCAAUUCUAAUAAAAAGCAUUGGCAAUUCGUUGAAUUAAAGCAGUUGUGAUUUUUGCAGAAUUGUAGAAUAAUAAACCGGUGAAUUUUUUCUCUGAAAAAUAACUAAAUUCAUCCAUACUAAGAAUGAAAUCCUUGAUUUUAUGGGUUUUGGUCAUCGGACUUGUCUGCGCUGCAGCCUCGCCAGCUGAGAACGAAAAAAAUUGCUGCCCCUGCGGAUGCGAACCAGGUGCUGAAUGCAGCAUUCGUUGCUGCAUGAAGGAAGGACACUUGUUUGGCGUGGGUCAACCAAAGUGUUGUCUUUGUAAUCCGUGCGAUCCAAACUCGGAGUGUCACAUUCGAUGUUGCUGAUUAUCCAUGGAAAAUAUAUGGUUCACACCUUUCAAAAAUCUACCUUCCUUGAUAAAUAUAAUAAUUAUACAUACAAAAGUAUAACUUUUAUUUAAUCAAUGUCCUGUAAAUAAAAUCGUAUGCACAUA